rnacentral:rRNA from 1 species
CCUGAGAAACCCAAAAGAUCGAAUGGGGAGAUUCAUCGUCAGCUCAUUUUGUAUAUGUAUAAGUUAUGAUGCGGAUUACUACUUGUAGUAUUGCCUGCACAUUCUUGUAUAUUUAGUUGCAAGAUGUUGUCGGCGUGCACUUCUCCCCUAGUAGGACGUCGCGACCUGUUGGGUGUCGGUCUACGGCCCAAGUGAUAGCCUUUAAUGUAAUUUAAAAAACAUUGAAGAUCCUUGGUGUUUUCUGACCGGCUACUUGGCAGUAUUCGUACGGUAUUUAGCCGCUAAAUUUAUUAAGCGUCCAUAUCCAUCACAAGCGAGGCUAAUUUACUGAUAGUACGGACCUAGUGCCGUCGUUGGUAUUGGCCAGCUGUUGGUUGAUGGUAUUCUAGGACUGGCUAAAAUUAAUUACCGGU